CUGAUUGGCCGCUCCGUCACGUCAAUCACGCGUGCACACGCCCUUUUAUAAUGCAGCAUGGGGCAAAGAACGUAACAAAAUGAAGGCUUCGUAGCGGGAUAUAGCUUUAACAUCAGAGCAGAUCAAACGAUUCGCGGUUAUACACUGAUGGUGAGACAUAAUGCCGAUAGUGGACAAGCUCAAAGAGGCCCUGAAGCCGGGCCGCAAGGACUCCAGUGACGAGAGCGACCUGAACAAGUUGCUGGCUUCAUCCGCAAAGAAAGUGCUUCUGCAGAAGAUCGAGUUUGAACCUGCAAGUAAAGGCUUCAGCUACCAGCUGGAGACCCUCAAGACAAAAUAUGUGAUCCUGAAUCCCAAGAAUGACGGAGCUGCGGCUCAGAGACCGACUGAACCUGCUCAGAUCAAGAGACAACUCUCUGAGAGCUUGAGCGUCGGGCACACCGAUGGGAUCCCUGCUCCGCAGAAGAUGCUCUUCCCUGGAAACAAGCUGUCCAUGAAGUGGGAACGGGUGUAUCGGGUUGGAGCCGGCCUCCACAACCUGGGCAACACCUGCUUCCUCAACUCUACCGUGCAGUGUCUCACCUACACCCCGCCGCUGGCCAACUACCUGCUCUCGAAGGAGCACAGCCGGUCCUGUCACCAAUCUGGAUUCUGCAUGAUUUGUGUAAUGCAGAACCACAUCAUCCAAGCCUUCGCCAACACCGGCAAUGCCAUCAAACCUGUAUCGUUCAUCCGAGAUCUGAAAAAAAUUGCUCGGCAUUUUCGGUUUGGGAGUCAAGAGGAUGCCCAUGAGUUUCUGCGUUACACCAUUGACGCCAUGCAGAAAGCUUGUUUGAACGGUUAUCCCAAACUGGACAGACAAACACAGGCCACCACGCUGGUCCACCAGAUUUUUGGGGGUUAUUUGAGGUCUAGAGUGAAGUGCUCUAUUUGUAAAAGUGUGUCAGAUACGUAUGACCCAAACCUGGACAUUGCUCUGGAGAUUCGGCAAGCGGUCAACAUCGUUCGUGCUCUGGAACUAUUUGUCAAGCCUGAUGUUUUGAGUGGCGAGAAUGCCUACAUGUGUGCCAAAUGUAAAAAGAAGGUUCCAGCGACUAAGAGGUUCACAGUCCACAGAACAUCAAAUGUGCUGACGCUGUCACUUAAACGCUUCGCCAACUUCAGUGGAGGAAAAAUUACCAAGGACGUUGGCUACCCAGAGUUCCUGAACAUUCGCCCGUACAUGUCCCAGAGCACAGGCGAUCCAGUGAUGUAUGGCCUCUAUGCUGUCCUUGUGCAUUCAGGGUACAGCUGCCAUGCUGGACACUACUACUGCUACGUCAAGGCCAGUAAUGGACAGUGGUACCAGAUGAAUGACUCAAUGGUGCAUUCCAGUAACAUCAAGGUUGUCCUUAAUCAGCAGGCCUAUGUCCUCUUUUACCUCAGGAUCCCUGAAAAGAAAAAUACAGAUGCUUCAAAUAUAAAGCAGAACAUGGUCCACUCUGGGAGAAAUAAUAUGACACCAGAGCAGCUGAAGAAGAGCACACUUAGUGGACCUUUGUCUUCACCACAGGUUACAAAGAAGCUUGAUCCUUCUCUGCUGAGGAAAAUCCAGUCAGUGGAUGGGGGACUUGGUAUUCCAGUAGUGAGAAACUGUUCGGGGGUCCAAUCGCCGAAGAUGUCUAAUGGUACGGGGAACUCCCAUGCCCUCCUUAAGCCGGCCAGUGGACCCACACUGAUCGAGGAGACCUUUAAGAAAGUGAAGAAGCCCAUACCUCAGCCUCUGUCCCACAGAAGCACUCCUGCUCCAUCCAACUGCCUUCCCAAAUCUGACUCUGACAAGAGAAGCAACAGCGAGGGCCGUGGCCUGCCAUCAUCUACCUCACUCAAAUCCCUGUCUGAUAGCUCCUCAGCAGACACCUCCUCUGAGUCUAAAGAGUCUAUUGGCACGAGGAGCGCACCUGUUGGCAGCAUGUCUGGUGUGAACAGUCCAGCAUCUCCAGCUAAGAGCACAGAGCGUGUGACCUCAGAGGAGCAGAAGAUGAUGAAACUCAAACCCCAGGCCCUCACCAAUGUCUCAUCAGAGCCCGUCAGCACCAUGUCCCCCCCGCCCGCAAAACGACUCGCCCUGUCCGCCAAGAAGGCCAGUCCCCGGCAGAGCCCGAGCAGCAGCACUGAGGCCCCGCCCCCUUUAUCUCCUCAUCUGUCCAGCGACCCCUCUCACCUUCUCAGCUGGGCCUCAACCCAACCGCACCACAGAUUUUCAACUCAUUCACUCAACCUGCAAUCUUCACAUUCAACUGACCAUCUUAAAGAAUUAAAAAGUCCCCUUAAACGGCCCUCCUCAACUCUGGAGCCGCCCGCUCAUGCUUGCUUUACGCAGACCAAUGGUUUUAAGCCCAGUACACCCAGACCAAUCCAGAGCCAGGACCCAUCAGCCUCAGCUACAGGAGUACCCCAGGUACUCAGUCCCACUCUUAAAAAGAAGAAAAAGAAACUAAAACGACGACAUUCAGAAGUAGAGCAGGAUGCCCCUAAAGCCUCGCCCCCAGAAGAACCAAAGCCAAGUACUGAAAAAAGAAAGAAGAAGAAGAAAAAGAAAAAGAGGAAAAGGGAACAGGAGGCAAAUGGUCUUGCAGGACAGAGGCAGUGUGUGCAGUCCCAUCUCGAGCCCCAUCAGGAUGAGGACUGGUGUCUUGGAGAGACUUGGACCAUCGUUUCAGAAGCCAAAGAAAAGGAGUCUGAGACAUCUAGAGCAGCAGAUAACCAUGAGACCAAACCUCAGUCAGUGUCUCUGAUUGACCAGCAAGAGACAGACCCCGUCCCGAAGAAGAAAAAGAAGCACAAACUCAAAGAGCAGCUUAAAGAGAUCAGCAAUGGAGUCGUGACUUCAAAGUGUGCUGUUGUAAAAGUGGUUAGUGGUGCAGACACAGAGUGCCUAGGAGAGACCAAGACGAAAAAGAAAAAGAGAAAACUAAAAGAUUUCAGAGAAGAGGAGGAGAGACCGAGGGAUAAAGAAAAACCUCACCUGGAGCUUCAAGAGACCAAUGGAGUCGAGUCUCCCAGUCAGAUGGACAAUGUGGGCAAGCAGAAAUCUGGUAAUCCUACCACAGCUGCCAUGAUUGUUUGGGACAGCCAGGUAAAAGACGGCUACAAGCGCAACCAGAAACAUCGAGAAGCAGAGGGCAUAUCGAGAAAAGACAGAUGCUCUGCUCCUAUGGGCUGGGAUGGCAAGAAAAGCUGUGAUGUGGUCGAGGAGCUCCUCAAGAACUCCUCAAAUAAAGCUUACGGGACUGAGGAACUAUACUGGGGGAAAAUGAAUGAUGGAAAAACAGAAAACAAUUGUCCUCAGUUGGGAAGGAGAUCUGUCGGCCGUUAGCCGAGAUGCUGCAGAGGAUGCACGCUAUGCCCAAAACGAGACCGUCAUUGACGAGUGGGACAGGGAGUUUGACAGUGGAAAAGUAAAGAAAAUGAAAAAAUACAAAACGGAGAAGAGGAGGAAGGGAAAUGUCUUCCAGAAGAUCCAAGAGCAUCGUAACAUGUGGUCAGUCACACCGGGAGGCAGACGGAGCAGUCUGGGGUUUCGCCAUUGAACGUUUUAAAUGCAGAUCCCAGUCGUGUGCCCUGACCAGACCAGUUGUCUUAUUGGAUCAGCAGCAGUCGCAUCUGUCUGAGGUUCUUCUGAAGAACACACGAGUGCAGCAGUACUGUGAAAUCAAGCGAUGAACCUGAGGUCUUCUCCUGAGUCUUUAGUCAUCGUCUGAAAUCCAAAACACACACCACUAGCAGUGCCAUAAUGAUCUUAGGAUCAUAGGAAAUAAGACAAACCUGAGAGUUUGCACCCUGUUAACCUUUAAUGAUCUGAAUUAUUCUCAUUGUAAUGAGAUUAAAUGUUUACCAGUGCCAGAUUAUUUAGAGCAUUCAGGCUGUGGUGGCCAGUGAUGAUCUGAGGUCUUUUAUUGAGAAGAAAACCCUCAAAAUUUCUAAAAAUGGGGAGAAUGUAGCCCCUCCCUCAAAUGACUCAACCAAUAUCAUUGUUCCCUUCAUGUAACUUUUGUUCGCUAAAUUAUUUAGCUUUUUCAUAUUUUGGCCUGAUGUUAUCAGGUAGUUGUUUGCCUGAAUGAAUCAUCUCUCUGUUGGAGGAAGUAGUGUUUUUACACAGACACAGACCUGCUUGCAAUACAUUCAGUACAAAACCUGCUUGAAUCCUAGUCCUCCUACAACUCCCCUUUGCAGUGUUUGAUUUUUGUCAUACUUUUAAAUGGAAAUGAACCUCUGAUGACCAUUUCUGCCGUUUUUAUAAGAUUUCUUCCACCAUUUCCAGUAAGACGACGUGGUCUUUUAUGCACAGAGCUGCAUACAACAAUGCAAUACAUUUCAUCCAUGUGAGCUAAAACACAAAAAACAUGGGCCUUAACACAAACCACUGUGUUUCUGUGGAGUAUCCCUUUGUCUUUGGUUUAGCGUCUCAUCCUGUAUCUCUUUCCUACUCUCUAUGCAACUACAGCAAUCCCCCGGAUGCCCUGUGAAGGGUUCAGUCCAGGGAAACACUCGACAAAAGCUGGUCCAAAUGUCAUCUGUCCGUUCGCAGUGCUAUUAUGCAUUGUGUCAGAAUGAUUUACAUGCUUAUCCACUGAAGAGCGUCACAGGAGUAAACCAGUGUGGAAGCUUUCCUAUUUAGGACAUUGUACAGUCUACCUUGUGCUCUCUGUGCCCUCCUCCUGUCAUCCUUUCAUGAAUCCUUGGGUUUUAGAAAAGUUGCCUUGGUUUAAUUUGUAAAAAAUGAAUAGAACAUAUUGCAAAUUAUACUUAUUAAAACAUGUUCAAAUGCACAGUGCUAAACUGAAGCCUAAUGGAUUUAAGGUUUGUGGAGUUGUAAAUUGGAAAUGUGUUCUGUAGGAUGUGUCUGUAUUCUCUUAGAACCGAGAUGUUCUUUUCAGAGACUGAAAGCUGAAGAACACACGAGUGUCUUUGUCAUAUUUGAAUUGAUAGUUCUGUACCUAAUGCCUUUUCUGAAAACAAAGUCAUUCGGUAUUGCAAAUACAUAAAUAUAGAUAUACUGGUGCAAUAAAGUUGUGAUUUUAUUUGUC